GUACGAGUUUGGUUCGCCUUCACCCGUUCGGACAGCGCGUUCGAGUCACCCGAACCAGCCGCGCAGCCAUAGUCUGUGGUUGCCAUUCUAGGGUCGGCCACUCUAUUCCUAGCUUCGCACCUGAGCACUUCCGUGUGCAGAGUGACUUCCCUGCCUCCUCAGACAGCCAAGGGAGAGCGCCGAAGGAGAGGCCGCCGCACCACCAGCACAAGAGAUUCCAUGACGUAAUUCGCACCUGCUGGGGAGUGGAAACCGGCAUACCUCUUUGUCGCGAUGCCCGAACCGAUGACGAAAUAGCAACAACAGAAAAAUGAACAUUGUUUUCGUUUUUUUCACGAAUACGACAGUGGAUUAAUGAUUUUAUCGUUGUUUUGUUUCAGGUUUGAUUACUAAUAAAUUUUGGUUAUUAAUAUGA